GAUGAACGCUGGCGGCGUGCCUAAUACAUGCAAGUCGAGCGAACAGACGAGGAGCUUGCUCCUUUGACGUUAGCGGCGGACGGGUGAGUAACACGUGGGUAACCUACCUAUAAGACUGGGAUAACUUCGGGAAACCGGAGCUAAUACCGGAUAAUAUUUCGAACCGCAUGGUUCGAUAGUGAAAGAUAGCUUUGCUAUCACUUAUAGAUGGACCUGCGCCGUAUUAGCUAGUUGGUAAGGUAACGGCUUACCAAGGCAACGAUACGUAGCCGACCUGAGAGGGUGAUCGGCCACACUGGAACUGAGACACGGUCCAGACUCCUACGGGAGGCAGCAGUAGGGAAUCUUCCGCAAUGGGCGAAAGCCUGACGGAGCAACGCCGCGUGAGUGAUGAAGGUCUUCGGAUCGUAAAACUCUGUUAUUAGGGAAGAACAAACGUGUAAGUAACUGUGCACGUCUUGACGGUACCUAAUCAGAAAGCCACGGCUAACUACG
rnacentral:rRNA from 1 species